rnacentral:rRNA from 1 species
CCUACGGGAGGCAGCAGUGGGGAAUAUUGGACAAUGGGCGCAAGCCUGAUCCAGCCAUGCCGCGUGUGUGAAGAAGGCCUUCGGGUUGUAAAGCACUUUUAUCCGGAAAGAAAAGCUUUGGGUUAAUACCCUGAAGUCAUGACGGUACCGGAAGAAUAAGCACCGGCUAACUUCGUGCCAGCAGCCGCGGUAAUACGAAGGGUGCAAGCGUUACUCGGAAUUACUGGGCGUAAAGCGUGCGUAGGUGGUUUGUUAAGUCUGAUGUGAAAGCCCUAGGCUCAACCUGGGAAUUGCAUUGGAUACUGGCAGGCUAGAGUGCGGUAGAGGAUAGUGGAAUUCCCGGUGUAGCAGUGAAAUGCGUAGAGAUCGGGAGGAACAUCUGUGGCGAAGGCGACUAUCUGGGCCAGCACUGACACUGAGGCACGAAAGCGUGGGGAGCAAACAGGAUUAGAUACCCUGGUAGUCCACGCCCUAAACGAUGCGAACUGGAUGUUGGGUGCAACUAGGCACUCAGUAUCGAAGCUAACGCGUUAAGUUCGCCGCCUGGGGGAGGUACGGUCGCGAGACGUAGAACGUACGAAGUAGAGUUAGUACGGACGUUGAGACGNGCCGACGGACGACGACGAGGGAGGAGG